UCAAGCGAACAAGUGCAUGUGGUGGAUGCCUUGGCGAUCACAGGCGAUGAAGGACGCGGUAGCCUGCGAAAAGCUUCGGGGAGCUGGCAAACAAGCUUUGAUCCGGAGAUGUCCGAAUGGGGAAACCCGGCCCGUAUGGGUCAUCCCACACUGAAUUCAUAGGUGUGGGAAGCGAACGCGGCGAACUGAAACAUCUAAGUAGCUGCAGGAACAGAAAUCAACCGAGAUUCCCAAAGUAGUGGCGAACGAAAUGGGAAGAGCCUUGUACUCUUUAGCAGUGGUGUUAGCAGAACGGGAUGGAAAGCCCGGCCAUAGCAGGUGAUAGCCCUGUAUGCGAAAACACGAUUGUGGAACUAGGUGUACGACAAGUAGGGCGGGACACGUGAAAUCCUGUCUGAAGAUGGGGGGACCAUCCUCCAAGGCUAAAUACUCGUGAUCGACCGAUAGUGAACCAGUACCGUGAGGGAAAGGCGAAAAGAACCCCGGGAGGGGAGUGAAAUAGAUCCUGAAACCGCAUGCAUACAAACAGUCGGAGCCCCGCUUUAAGCGCUUUCGGCGAUUUUUACGACAGUAAAAAUCGUCAAAAGACUCCAGUGUGAAAUAGCACCACUGGCGCGCAAAGCGGUUUAAGCGCGAGAGCGCUUAAAGCGGGGUGACGGCGUACCUUUUGUAUAAUGGGUCAGCGACUUACAUUCAGUGGCAAGCUUAACCGAUUAGGGAAGGCGUAGCGAAAGCGAGUCCGAACAGGGCGUUGAGUCGCUGGGUGUAGACCCGAAACCAGAUGAUCUAUCCAUGGCCAGGUUGAAGGUGCGGUAACACGUACUGGAGGACCGAACCCACUAACGUUGAAAAGUUAGGGGAUGAGCUGUGGAUAGGGGUGAAAGGCUAAACAAAUCUGGAAAUAGCUGGUUCUCUCCGAAAACUAUUUAGGUAGUGCCUCGUGUCUCACCUUCGGGGGUAGAGCACUGUCAUGGUUGGGGGGUCUAUUGCUGAUUACCCCGCCAUAGCAAACUCCGAAUACCGAAGAGUGCAAGCACGGGAGACAGACAUCGGGUGCUAACGUCCGGUGUCAAGAGGGAAACAACCCAGACCGCCAGCUAAGGUCCCCAAAUAUAGCUAAGUGGGAAACGAAGUGGGAAGGCUAAAACAGUCAGGAGGUUGGCUUAGAAGCAGCCACCCUUUAAAGAAAGCGUAAUAGCUCACUGAUCGAGUCGUCCUGCGCGGAAGAUGUAACGGGGCUAAGCUAUAUACCGAAGCUGCGGACGCACGCAAGUGCGUGGUAGGAGAGCGUUCUGUAAGCCUGUGAAGGUGUCUUGUAAAGGAUGCUGGAGGUAUCAGAAGUGCGAAUGCUGACAUGAGUAGCGAUAAAGGGGGUGAAAGGCCCCCUCGCCGUAAGCCCAAGGUUUCCUACGCAACGUUCAUCGGCGUAGGGUGAGUCGGCCCCUAAGGCGAGGCAGAGAUGCGUAGCUGAUGGGAAGCAGGUUAAUAUUCCUGCACCGUCGUAUGAUGCGAUGGGGGGACGGAUCGCGGAAGGUUGUCCGGGUGUUGGAAGUCCCGGUCCCUGCAUUGGAGAAGGCGCUCAGGCAAAUCCGGGCGCGGGAUUCAAGGAUGUGGGGCGAGCGGCCUAGUGCUGCGAAGCAAUUGGAAGUGGUUCCAAGAAAAGCCUCUAAGCUUCAGUCAUACGAGACCGUACCGCAAACCGACACAGGUGGGCGAGAUGAGUAUUCUAAGGCGCUUGAGAGAACUCGGGAGAAGGAACUCGGCAAAUUGGUACCGUAACUUCGGGAUAAGGUACGCCCUGGUAGCUUGACUGGCCUGCGCCAGAAGGGUGAAGGGGUUGCAAUAAAAUGGUGGCUGCGACUGUUUAAUAAAAACACAGCACUCUGCAAACACGAAAGUGGACGUAUAGGGUGUGACGCCUGCCCGGUGCCGGAAGAUUAAAUGAUGGGGUGCAAGCUCUUGAUUGAAGUCCCGGUAAACGGCGGCCGUAACUAUAACGGUCCUAAGGUAGCGAAAUUCCUUGUCGGGUAAGUUCCGACCUGCACGAAUGGCGUAACGAUGGCCACACUGUCUCCUCCCGAGACUCAGCGAAGUUGAAGUGUUUGUGAUGAUGCAAUCUCCCCGCGGCUAGACGGAAAGACCCCAUGAACCUUUACUGUAGCUUUGCAUUGGACUUUGAACCGAUCUGUGUAGGAUAGGUGGGAGGCUUUGAAGCGUGGACGCUAGUUCACGUGGAGCCGUCCUUGAAAUACCACCCUGGUUUGUUUGAGGUUCUAACCUUGGCCCGUGAAUCCGGGUCGGGGACAGUGCAUGGUACGCAGUUCGACUGGGGCGGUCUCCUCCCAAAGUGUAACGGAGGAGUUCGAAUGUACGCUUGGUACGGUCUGACAUCGUACCUAAAGUGCAAUGGCAACAGCGUGCUUAACUGCGAGCCCGACAAGUCGAGCAGGUGCGAACGCAGUACAUAGUGAUCCGGUUGUUCUGAAUGGAAUGGCCAUCGCUCAACGGAUAAAAGGUACUCUGGGGAUAACAGGCUGAUACCGCCCAAGAGUUCAUAUCGACGGCGGUGUUUGGCCCCUCGAUGUCGGCUCAUCUCAUCCUGGGGCUGUAGCCGGUCCCAAGGGUAUGGCUGUUCGCCAUUUAAAGAGGUACGUGAGCUGGGUUUAAAACGUCGUGAGACAGUUUGGUCCCUAUCUGCCGUGGGCGUUGGAAUCUUGACGGGGGCUGCUCCUAGUACGAGAGGACCGGAGUGGACGUACCGCUGGUGUACCUGUUGUCUCGCCAGAGGCAUCGCAGGGUAGCUAUGUACGGAAGAGAUAACCGCUGAAAGCAUCUAAGCGGGAAACUCGCCUGAAGAUGAGGAUUCCCUGGAGGCUUGACCUCCUUGAAGGGUCGUUCGAGACCAGGACGUUGAUAGGCUGGGUGUGGAAGCGCAGUAAUGCGUUAAGCUAACCAGUACUAAUUGCCCGUAAGGCUUGAUCCU
rnacentral:rRNA from 1 species